rnacentral:misc_RNA from 1 species
UUGAUUGAUUUGUUUUUUUUCUCAGACGACACAGUAUUCAGAGUUUGGGUCUCUGGCGACGGAGGCCGGGCAGAACUCUCGGCGUUCUGCAAAACGUUGUAAAAAUACAAUUACAAGUAAUAGAGACAUCAAGAGGCCGCCCAACCCGCACAGACGCGCAAGAAUCCGGAGACUCUCGCACCGUCCACAUCCGCCAAAGCAACAUGACACAAAACAAGGGUGGAGAGUGCGAUCGCUCGCAUCACUCGGUAAUGAUCCUUCCGCAGGUUCACCUACGGAAA